rnacentral:rRNA from 1 species
UACAGAGACUGCAAGCGUUAUUCGGAUUCACUGGGCGUAAAGGGUGCGCAGGCGGUCGGGUGUGUCAGAUGUGAAAUCCCGAGGCUCAACCUCGGAACUGCGUCUGAAACUACUCGACUAGAGUACUGGAGAGGGUAACGGAAUUCACGGUGUAGCAGUGAAAUGCGUAGAUAUCGUGAGGAACACCAGAGGCGAAGGCGGUUACCUGGACAGUCCCUGACGCUGAGGCGCGAAGGCCAGGGGAGCAAACGGG